rnacentral:rRNA from 1 species
GAUGAACGCUGGCGGCGCGCCUAACACAUGCAAGUCGAACGGUUAAAGCACCUAUUUGUUGUGUCUAAAGUGGCGAACGGCGGAGUAACACGUGGGCAACCUGCCCUCCUCUUGGGGGUAGCCUCGGGAAACCGAGGAUACUACCCGAUACUUAAAUGUGGCCGCAUGACGACAUUGAUAAAACUUUUGGUGUGAAGGAUUGGCAGACGGCCUCUUGGCUUGUUGGUGGGGUAGUGGCCUACAAGGGCAACGAGGGGUAGCUGGAUUGGGGGACGGAACAGCCAGAAUGGGACUGAGACACGGACCAGACGCCUACGGUAGGCAGCAGAGGAGAGUCUUGCAGAAUGGGCGAGAGCCAGAUGAAGCGACGCCGGGAGCGGGACGAAGGCCUUGGGGUUGUAAACCGCGUUCAGCAGGGACGGGGCGUUAAGUGACGGUACCUGCAGAAGAAGACACGGCUAACUACGUG